AUAAUUUUUUAAUAUUUUAGUUCCUAUAUUUAUGGAUUAUAUUCUAAGGAAUUACCAUUUCAGACAAUAUUUUUAUAAAGACUCUAAUAUUCCUCUAAAGCUCCUAAAUAAGUCCUUAAAGAUGGUGAUGGGAAUCCAUUAGAGAUGCUCUUAGCAUUUUUUUUUUCUGGACAACAAAGAUGCUCUUAGCGCUAGGAGGGACCAUAUAGAAAGAAUCGAUCGACACCAAGUUUUCUGGGUUUCAUAUACCAACAAUUAAAUGGGCCUCCUGUGCUGCUUAGGAGGGCAUGAUCUGUUAAUUUCAUGGAAAUUAAGUGUAAUUAAGAGUGACAUGAUCUGUUAAUUACAUGAAAAUAUGUGAGUAGGUAGCUAGCUAAGCUACAAAUUAAUCGGUUUGCCAAAAAAAAAAAAAAGCUACAAAUUAAUCGUCAUUUUAAUGUGUUAAAGAGGAGCCACCUGUAUAAUAAUAAUAUAAUUAAAAGUAUAAAUAAUGUUAGUCAACUCAAAGUAGGAGGGAGUGAUGUGGCUCGGGGUAUAAUUCUCUAAUGCAUACACCAGUUGUUUAGUGAUUAACUUUUAUUAAUUUGGGUUUAGGUUCUAAUUCUAUACUUAUUCUCCAUAAAAUAAAAAUUAAGAACACGUAUGCAUCACCAACGAUGUAAAAUAUUGGGUGGGAAUGGGAUAAUUGUUUCAGGAAAGCAGUGGGCAAAACGAAUUUUUCUUUACGGUUUUGAUAUCAAUAUAAAUUUUUUUUAAAUGUGUUGAAGGGUAAAGUGUUAGCCUUAUGUUUCUGAUAAUUCACUCUUUAAACACCGUCCUUUGAUUCCCAGUAAAAUUAUUAUUCCUUCGAGAAACAACGCAACACAAUAGUAGGAGACGUAAGAAAAAAGAACCAAAUUAACUACUCCCUCGAGUCAUCUGAUUUUUUUUUUAUUUGUAAGUAUUUGAUUACGGAUUUUAAGAGAAAGCUUAUACUUUUUUUACUUCUUAUGUGUAAGUAAACGUAAGAGAAAAUGAAUAAGUGAAAUGAUUCUCUUACUUAUAUUUUAGUAAAUGCAUGAAACUUAAUAAUCAAAGUUGGUCUUGUAAAAACUGUCCUAUUUAUAAUGAAAAUAAUUUUGUUGCUGAUGAUUUAACUCGUUUGAGUUUGUCAUGUAGUUGGGGUCCAAUCUUUUUUUAUUUAGCUUCUCCUUCUUGUUGUCGGUUGCUAGUUAUAGAUAUAACUAGAGUCUCGUGAUACUCUUAUGUAAUCUUUUUUUUUUCUUUCAGGCUCACGCCGCAUUGUCAACAAAAGAAAAUGAUACUAAUUUCUAUUGCUUAUAAGUAAAUAGGUCCAGUCAGUAGAUACCUCUUAGAAUAUAUUUUAAAUUAAAAUCUCUCUUCUUGUUCCUAUUGAUAAAAGAAACACGGUUACAUUAUUAUGAAGGAAACAGCUAUUCAUUACUCAAAUGUAAUCUUAUUGCAAUUGAAAUGAACAUACAUUUCCCAAUAAUACAUUAUUUGAUAAAGAUCAGAUGGGAGUUGACUGAAGAUCAAGUCGAAAGGCAUAAGUUGGAUUUACAGAUGGUUUAGGCGUCUGACUUGGGCAUGUACGGCUUCACUUGGGCGAAAAUGGGGAUACACAUCAAACUUAACUCUUUGCCGUAAUAUAUGGUAGUUUUCAACCAGAUACUCUCGUCUACAAUGUUUUAUUAAGAUUUUAAGAUUUACGGAUGUUUUUGGUAUUUUAUUAUUUCUUUUUUCUAUUACUUUUUGGAUUCAUAGGGCUUCUAGGAUUAAGUUACAUUAUACAUUACGAUUGAUAUCUAUUUUAUCAAUUAUUCAAUAUUAAACACUCGGGUUUUCUCAUACUUUUGAUGAAUUCCACUGUUCUUGUUCUUAUCAAUUAUCUUCUCUUUGUCAAGAUGGGUGUCGUUUAUUAUACAAAAUUAUUAAUUAUUACAAACUAAUUAAAAUAAAGUAUAUUAAAAUAAAAGAAGGAAGAAAACUUCAAAAAAAAAAAUUUGUAUAAAGAAGUUGAGAAGAAGACAAGAAUAUGUACGUGGGCAUUACAUACAAGAUGUGCAUGCGCUUAAUUUUCAUAUAUUUUUGUAUGCGAAUUAACUUUUGAUCUAGUCUUUCAAUUUGAUUGGAGGAAGCUCCAUAAAGAAAUGCUAGCUCCAAUAUUGGUUGCUGAGGAAUAAGUUCAAUUGGAAUACAAGAAAUUUGAAGAACUAAUUUAAUUCGAUUGGUUGUUAAAACCAACCAAAAAUAUAAUUUUUAAGUGGAUAAAAUGUUGUCUCAUAGUUUAGCGUUUGCAUGAGCUGUUGCUUGGAUGUUGAUUACAAUUGUCAUUUUCUUUUCCUUCUAAUUUUUUUAUGUAAAAGAUAUGAUAUUUCUUGUUGAAUGACAUGAAACUGAGGAGAGUUAAGAGUGAUGUUGAAGUACAUAAACAAAAAUAAAAAAUUCAAAGCCGAUUCAAUAAAAUAUUGCGAUGUGAAACAUAAAAACUGAUGUAGAAUAGAUGGUUGAGAAGAUUGAAGAGCAGCUUGAAUGAUGCAAAGUUGGCAACAAGGCUUAUGGGAUGUAGGUAUGGUAGAUCGGUGUCAGAAUCAUGCAUAAUACAUGUCGUUUGGAAGAGAAUGACGCGAGGACCAAUACGCAUUGGCUUGGCUUGUGAAUCAGAGGCAAGUUUGGCCAAACUCCUUCUUUACCAUCCCAAAACAACAUUUAAAAUUUUGGGAUACUUCUGGAACUUUGUUAACCGUUUCUUUUAUUUCCUCCUUGAAUGUUAAGUCCUACUAGGGUUUGCCUUAUGUUUUGGACGUAUAAAUACACCUCUUUGGUGUUGGUGUUGAAGAUCAAGUCGAUUCUAGGGUUUCUUAGAGCAUUCUAGCGUUGUGAUAUAUCGUUCAACAAAAUAUUGGUACCCUCCAAUAUAAAAAAAAGGGAGAGUUCCGAAGCCUGAAUGAUGAACAAUCAAACUCAAGCCACCAAAGAAAAUGUGGAGGCUUCUCAAACCACAUGCAAAAUAAACCAAGCUAAAGUGAUAUGUCACUCCAUCUGUAUUGUACCACAACGAUUGGAUUAAGUAUUCUUUAAACUAAUGAGUUUUAAUAAUCUAAUGACACUAUAUAUGAUUAGUCAUUGCCAACAAUAGCGCGUUGUAGGUUCCUCAUCACGUUAGAAAGCCAAAGGCUUAUUUGACAUGUCUCAAGGUGUCAAUGUUUUGUUGAAGUUUAGAUUUUUUUUUUAUUAUAUAUAUAUACACACACAAGCGAAGGGGAGUCAAGAUCUUAGAACUUCAAAUGCUCAUAACCAAUUGAAAUCGGUAAAUUUGAUAACAUUUAGAGAGAGAGAAUUAAGGAAGCAGCGAAGAAAUUGUUUACAACUGUGAACUUAAGUUCGAUUUCUGUUCUUUUAACCAGGUCUUUGUGGGUACGCCAAACAGAACCUUGAGGAAUCAUAAGGCCAUGAAAAAGCAGGAGAACAUAAGUACUCAUCAUAGUGUGUGAAAUUGAGAAUCUAAAAAGCUAUAGAAUCUUGCUAAGCUAGCUAGUUUGAAAGAAAAAACCAGCAGAUCACACUUGUACUGGCCGUGUUAUUAACUUAUUAUAUACUCUCACAGACAGUUAUAUAUCAAUAUGAUUUGGUAGUUACUGGUUGAAAUGCACUUUGACUAAUAACUGUUGGUUGUGUUGACAAUAUUAUACAAAUCUAGCUCGAUAUAUGAUAUAUGCCCUUUACUUCAACUCAUGCAUCUCAUUUGUUAAACAACUGUACGUACUAUGCAUGUAUAGAUACA
rnacentral:lncRNA from 1 species